rnacentral:lncRNA from 12 species
AUGAGAAAUAGUUUAUUAAGAGGACUUAUGGACAGAAGCAUGACGUGGGUGGCCUCAAGAGACCAGAAAAUGUCUCUUGAAUUGAGUACAGUGGAUAAGUGGCAACCAUGGGAUCUAACUUUAGUAAUGAGACACAAAGACAAUAAGGUAAGAGAGAGUUGUGAGCCCUGAGUAGUCAUCUCAUUUGGAUGCACAAUUACAGGGUCCACUUCACUCCAUAACCUCUAAUCACCUUUCAGCUGACCAUGAGGUAGUCUGGUGGGAAAGGGAGAAUUCUUGCAGCCUCUCUCUAUUUUCUAAUUGUGAGUGACUAAAUAAGAAUCAUCAUGGUACAAUCCACUUCCAGUCUUAGCUUCUUUCUUUUGUUCCUCAUCUCCUGUGAUGCAGCACCCUCAUUUUUAAUAGCUGUGAAAUAGUUCUCUAUUAGUAAGAAUAAUAUACAUUACACAUUGUAUAUUGGCAGGUUCCCUAGAUGUGUGCAGUAUUCUAAUUCUUCUAUUCUAAAUGCAAUUAUAUUAGGGACCUUGGCUCAUUAAUUCAUGUUCUUACUUAUUCAUUCAUUUAAGUAAAAUAUUUUUUACUGAGUAACUUUGACAUUUCAAGCAUUAUACUUGUUGCUGAGGUAAUGAUUAUGAAUUAGAUAUUCAUAGAAUCCACAGUCUAAUAGUGCAAACAAAUAAUCAGACAAUUACCAUACUGUGUUUGACAUACAAUGUUUGACAUGUUAUAAUAUGUCAAGGAGGAAGUAAAGAGUGGAUUGAGAACAGAGAAGAGGUAUAUGUAAAUUUCUAGAUGCUCAGAGGCCUUGGUAAAUUGUGAUUUGGACAAUGGCUGGGAGUUAAGGAACAUGGAGUUUGGUGGGGAUGGGGUCUAUGCAUGGAUGGGUUCCAGAACAAGGGACUACAUGUGUGAAACUCAGAGACAAGAGCCUGACAUCAUUCUGUGAGGGUGGGGAGUACUGGGAGAAGAUUGAAAGAAGUUCAAUGUGAUUAAGUCAUUAUGUGCAUGGGGUCAAAUAACAAGAUGUGAGUAGCAUGGAAGAUACAUAUAGAGAAAGGAGAAGUAAUAAUGUGGGAGAAUUCAUUCAGCUGGUAACUGGCUAUGUGAUCCUAGUAAAUUACUGCACUACGCUUUGCUGGGUCCUGAUUUUCUUCUCCAUGAAAUGAAGGAAACAGGCAAAUGACCUCAGGGGUUAUAUCUGCUCAUACCCUAUGAAAGCUAAAGUUCAAUAGGUUCCUUUGCACAAGGUUUCUACAAAUAGCGUCUGUUAGUGGGGUUGGGGGAGGUUAAUAAUAUUCUAGUCCAGGAAUCUUUGUACAAAACUCUGGGGCUUAGUCUACAUUUUUUUCUCUCAUUAAAGUUCAUCUCAAGUUCUUUGCAUCCAUUUUGUUCUGUUACCGCAUACUGUUAUUGUUACAAUGGGGUAAUAUUAAUUUAUUUUAUCAUUGGUGCCAAAUCUAAUGUUCCUAAAUUAUAAAUAAUUUUCAAGCCAAUUCCAAUAAAAUGAAUUUAAAGAGAAGUAACA